rnacentral:rRNA from 1 species
UGGGGAAUCUUAGACAAUGGGGGAAACCCUGAUCUAGCCAUGCCGCGUGAGCGAUGAAGGCCUUAGGGUUGUAAAGCUCUUUCAGCUGGGAAGAUAAUGACGGUACCAGCAGAAGAAGCCCCGGCUAACUCCGUGCCAGCAGCCGCGGUAAUACGGAGGGGGCUAGCGUUGUUCGGAAUUACUGGGCGUAAAGCGCACGUAGGCGGACUUUUAAGUCGGGGGUGAAAUCCCGGGGCUCAACCCCGGAACUGCCUUCGAUACUGGGAGUCUGGAGUUCGAGAGAGGUGAGUGGAAUUCCGAGUGUAGAGGUGAAAUUCGUAGAUAUUCGGAGGAACACCAGUGGCGAAGGCGGCUCACUGGCUCGAUACUGACGCUGAGGUGCGAAAGCGUGGGGAGCAAACAGGAUUAGAUACCCGUGUAGUCC